rnacentral:lncRNA from 1 species
UUUGAAUCAUAUUCAUCAUUGUCAUCAUAAUAAUCAUAAUUGUAGAUUAAAAUAAUGGUGAUGAUUCAGAAUUAUUCAAUAAUAUAAUACAUUGCAAAAUAAAUUAUAAGAAAAUGAAUUGUUGCUGUGAAAAACUAGACGCAUUGAAACAAAUUCUAUAUGUUAAAGAGCAGAGAGAUGAAUUACAAGAUGCAUGUAAUUCAAAAAACAGUGAAGCGUCUAAGUUGUUUUUCAAAAGUAAUUUAACUUUUCAGAUUUUUAUGUUCUAAAUCAAUUUGAAUGAUUAUAUAUGUUUAUUGAGGGGUAAGGAAAAACAAACAA